GUCGCUGCUGUGCGUUGCAUCGAUGGGCACAUGCUAGGCCUCUACGAACCUGCAUGAGUGUAUCAUCACAUUUUAAGCUUCAAGGACUUCAACCGAAGAUGGAGGCGAAAGCUCUUUUCAAUGCUCUUCAAAUUGGAAAUACAUAAGAAACUUCUUCUUUCCUUGGGUUGCCUUCGUAUAUAGACAGCGUUCGCUCAUUUAUGUCAAUCAGCACGGUGCAGAGGGUGUAUAGUGUUGGAC
rnacentral:misc_RNA from 1 species